GACGAACGCUGGCGGCGUGCCUAAUACAUGCAAGUAGAACGCAGUUGCGAACGGGUGAGUAACGCGUAGGUAACUGCCUCAUAGCGGGGGAUAACUAUUGGAAACGAUAGCUAAUACCGCAUACUGUGAGAUGGACCUGCGUUGUAUUAGCUAGUUGGUGAGGUAAAGGCACACCAAGGCGACGAUACAUAGCCGACCUGAGAGGGAGAUCGGCCACAAUGGGAAUGGAAAACGGCCCAGGAUGCUGAGGGAGGCAGCAGGAGGGAAACUGCGGCAAUGGACGGAAGUCUGACCGAGCAACGGCUCGUGAGUGGAGAAGGUUUUCGGAACGGAAAGCUCUGUUGUUAGGGAAGCGGUAACUACCCAAAAAGGGACGGCUAACUACGUGCCAGCCGCCGCGGUAAUAC
rnacentral:rRNA from 1 species